GGGCUCAUCAUCCCACGAAGGAAACAACAUGGUCUUCCUCGGUGGUGGACCGGACAACAGGUGCAUCAUGGUUGUCGUCAGCUGUCGUGAGGAGAUGGGGGAAGUAGUCCAACGAGGACAACAAUCCCCUCCUGUAGCCAUCAUCUCACAGUGGGCCACUUAGAGGGGACGCCCGGGUCAACGGGGAGGAAAGCGGGGACGACGUCAAGUCAUCAUGCCCCUUAUGCCCAGGGCACACACGUGCUACAAUGGACGGCACAAAGGGCAGCCACGCCGCGAGGAGAGCAAAUCCCAAAAAACCGUUCUCAGUUCGGAUCGGAGUCUGCAACUCGACUCCAUGAAGGAGGAAUCGCUAGUAAUCGUGGAUCAGCAUGACGCGGUGAAUACGUUCCCGGGCCUUGUACACACCGCCCGUCACACCACGAAAGUCAGCUGUACUCGAAGUCGCUGAG
rnacentral:rRNA from 1 species